AAAAUAGCCACCAUAGAGCCUCCUGUCAAAUACAUUUUCCAUUCCCCUGUACAAACCACUUCCCAAAACAUUAUCGUUCGUCUGCUCGACCUAACAACAUCUCAAAUUUUUUGUGUAGUCUCAAAUUAUUUUCUUUUUCGGUUCAAAAACUUGUACGGCUUAAUCAUGUGUUGCGGACCCUGUGGACCAUGUGGACCUUGCUGUGGACCUUGCGGACCCUGCUGUGGUCCUUGUGGACCCUGCUGUGAUCCAUGUGGGGGAUGUGGUUCCUGCUACGGACCCAAUGUCUGUGGUCCGUGCUACGCAUGUGGACCCUGUGGCGGCUGCUAUUGUGGUUAUCCUUGCUGCUAGGACAUCAAAUUGGAGGAAGAAUCAAGCUAAUUUGAAAGCAGAAUACCAGCUUAUGUUAAUCCAGGAUCCUCAAGGAGUAAUUUGAGACAACGCAUACAAAAUAAAUGUCGAGUAGGAACGACUA